GUUAACUCUUGCGAGGACAUGAAAUUUUGAUGAUGUAAGGGCGCCAUCUAUUGUCCAAAAUCUAGAUGGUGGUCUGUGAAUUGGCCACACCUGAUCAACUAAUGACGUACAGAGAAUCUGGCCCUUUAAAAAGCAAAGACAAAGGGAAGAGAGAGUCAGAUUCAGAUUCGGAGAUUCAGAUUCAAAUUCGGACAUUUAGAGAGAUCUAGGACAGAUAUUCAGGACACUCUGGAACUAACACUCAACUCUCACACUCUUUGACUCAACUCAAGAAGCACCUCCUGAAAACUUAGAAUUUUACUAUAACUUUCCAAACCAAUAUCACAUUCUCUAUCACAUGCACACCUCCUUACAAGCAUUAACCACA